UACGGGGGGGGCAAGCGUUGUUCGGAAUUACUGGGCGUAAAGGGCUCGUAGGGGGUCAACUAAGUCGGACGUGAAAUCCCUCGGCUUAACCGGGGAACUGCGUCCGAUACUGGAUGACUUGAGUUCGGGAGAGGUGAGUGGAACUGCGAGUGUAGAGGUGAAAUUCGUAGAUAUUCGCAAGAACACCAGUGGCGAAGGCGGCUCACUGGCCCGAUACUGACGCUGAGGCACGAAAGCGUGGGGAGCAAACAGG
rnacentral:rRNA from 1 species